rnacentral:lncRNA from 1 species
UGAGAGCCUGGCCAACUUUGUCUUACCUCAUAGCAUGCAUACUCUUGCCCAUCACAACCCCCUAAACAUUAUAUUUUCUUCUUCUUGACUUUAGGGAAAGUCCUGAACACUUAAGAGGUAUGGAACUGAGUGCCUGUGCACCCAGAAAAAAGUCUCAGAUGGAACUACAGCUCCAGUUAAGAUUAUAAGUAUACAUCCAAGGAUCACAGAUUGAGAGCCAGCUAUACAAGCUCCCCAUGUUGGUACCAUGAAAGAUGUCCUAUGGAUACUCAUUGUUAUUGCAAUAGUGAUGGUGUUCCCAAUAUUUCUUUUCAUUAAAGAAAACCCCUUUGAUACUGCAAGUUUCCUGUCUUUGCAGGAAAAGGAGAUGGUAGCUUGGCAGAGAGCCCGGAUGCAGAUCAGCCCUAGUAGAACAAACCACCUGGAAACCUUCAAAAAUAUUCAGAAAAACUCAGAACCACUAAAAAAUGUGAACUCCUGUAUCUUGAUUGGAGCUCCUCCUCUGAAAAAAAGUGAGUGUGCUCAAGAGGCUAUGUGAUGCAGGGGCAGGUUAGGUAAGGGUAUAUAGAGAAGGCAGGUGUAAAGCAAAAGGGACCUAUGACAGCAUUUGACACAGAUCACUCUCUUUCAACAUUCUUUAAUUGCUUCCAAGGAUCCUAGAUUCUUAUGAUUCUCCUCUAAAUUUCUUGAUAGUUCCUCACUCUCAUGCUGAUUUAUCUUCUGUCUCCAGCAUCUAAAUGUUAAUAUACCCCAGAGCUCAGUCCUUAUCUAGACUUACUUUUUAAAAGUUGAAAUAUAGUUGAUUUACAAUACUGUAUUAGUUUCAUGUGUAUAGCAUUGUGAUUUGAUUUUUUUACAGGUUAUAUUCCAUUAUGGGUUACAAUACCCAACACCUUAUAAGCUUAGUUUCUUGGGUAACUCAUCCAGUCUCACAGUUUUAAGUAUCAUCUAUAGCAGCAGCCUAUAAUUUUGAGGUAAGUAUAACUGUUGUCCUCACUGGCCUCUGCUGCAGUAGUAUCCCUUUCUCUCUUGUCCCUGAUAACCAUGCUGGCAUCUGUUACUGAAGUCUAUGGCUAGCUAGGGAACAUGAGAGAUUUCAAAUCAG